ACACAGUUUUGGUCCUAGACUUGUUGCUAUUUGUAAUCAAAAUUAUACAUGCAAGUCUCCGCUAACCGGUGAAAAUGCCCAAACACAUAAAGGAGCAGGUAUCAGGCACGACCUAUCAGCCCAAAACACCUUGCUACGCCACACCCACACGGGACAUCAGCAGUAACAAAUAUUAAGCAAUGAGCAGAAGCUCGACUUAGUUAUGAUUAAUAGGGCCGGUCAACCUUGUGCCAGCCACCGCGGUUAUACAAGGGGCCCAAAAUAGACAAAUUCCGGCGUAAAGGGUGGCUAGAACAUGCUAAACAUCAAAAUAAUAACACAACCCUAACCGUAAAACACAGGACAAAUGAACACCUUAAUUUUGUACAACAGCAAUUUGAACCCACGAAAACCAAGAAACAAACUAGGAUUAGAUACCCUACUAUGCUCGGUCGUAAAUAAGAUAUAGUAACAUAAAUAUAUCCGCCAGAAAACUACAAGCGAAAAGCUUAAAACCCAAAGGACUUGGCGGUGCCCCACAUCCCCUUAGAGGAGCCUGUCCUGUAAUUGAUAAUCCACAAUACACCUUCCCCCCUAUUGCAUCCCACAGCCUAUAUACCGCCGUCGUAAAUCCACCCUAUGAAGGACAAACAGUGGGUGUAAUAACCACCCAGUUAAAACGUCAGGUCAAGGUGUAGCUGAUAAGGGGGUAGAGAUGGGCUACAUUUUUUAACCUAAAAAAGACGGCAAAAUACCAUGAAACAGGCAUUAGAAGGCGAAUUUAAUAGUAAGACUAGCAAGAAAACUAGUCUUAAACCUGCCCUGGAGCGCGCACACACCGCCCGUCACCCUCAUCAACACCUCGUCAAACAUAUAUAAUACAACCUUAACAAAAAGAUGAGG
rnacentral:rRNA from 1 species